AUGGGUUCCGCGCAGGUCGAUGCCGACGUUAAGCCGCACGCCGUGUGCGUGCCGCUGCCGGCGCAGGGGCACGUCACGCCGAUGCUGAAGCUGGCCAAGAUCCUCCACUGCAGGGGCUUCCAUGUCACCUUCGUCAACUCCGAGUUCAACCACCGGCGGCUCCUCCGCUCCCGCGGCGCUGCCGCACUCGACGGCAUCGAGGGGUUCCGCUUCGCUACCAUACCGGACGGCCUCCCGCCGUCCGACGCCGAUGCCACGCAGGACGUGCCGUCCCUCUGCCGCUCCACCAGGGAGACCUGCCUCCCGCAUUUCAAGAGCCUCCUUGCCGAGCUCAACGCCUCCACCGAGUCGCCGCCGGUCACGUGCAUCGUCGGCGACAACACCAUGAGCUUCACCCUCGACGCCGCGCGGGACAUUGGCGUGCCGUGUGCGCUGUUCUGGACUGCCAGCGUCUGCGGCUACUUGGGCUACCGCCAUUACCGCACCUUGUACGACAAGGGCAUCUUCCCACUCAAAGACGCGGAGCAGCUGACCAAUGGGUAUCUGGACACACCGGUGGACUGGACGGCGGGGAUGAGCAAGCACAUGCGGCUCAAAGACUUCCCGAACUUCAUCUGGUCGACGGACCCCGACGAGUACAUGGCCCACUUCGCCCUCCACGUGACGGAGCGGCUGGCGGAGGCGGACGCCGCCAUCUUCAACACCCUGGAAGAGCUCGAGCCAGCGGCGCUGGACGCGGUGCGCGCCAUGCUCCCGCCCACCGUGCCCGUCUACACCAUCGGCCAUCUCCCCUUACUUGCCGAGGAGAUCGUGCCACAGGGCGGCACGUUGGACGCGCUGGGGUCAAACCUGUGGAAGGAGGACGUCUCAUGCUUCGACUUUCUGGACGGCAAGGAGCCCCGGUCGGUCGUGUACGUGAACUACGGCAGCAUCACGGUGAUGAGCAACGAGGAGCUCCUCGAGUUCGCGUGGGGGCUAGCCAACAGCGGCCAGCCGUUCCUGUGGAUCAUCAGGCCGGACCUCGUGAAGGGCGACGCCGCCGUGCUGCCGCCGGAGUUCCUGGAGUCCAUCGAGGGGCGCGGCGUGCUGGCGAGCUGGUGCCCGCAGGAGGCAGUGCUGAGGCAUGAGGCGGUGGGCGUGUUCCUGACGCACUCCGGGUGGAACUCGACGGUGGAGAGCCUGUGCGGCGGGGUGCCGACGCUGUGCUGGCCCUUCUUCGCGGAGCAGCAGACCAACAGCCGGUACAGCUGCGUGGAGUGGGGCGUGGCCAUGGAGAUCGGCCACGACGUGCGGCGGGAGGCGGUGGAGGCCAAGAUACGUGAGGCCAUGUCCGGCGAGAAGGGGAAGGAGAUGCGCCGCCGGGCCGAGGAAUGGAGGGAGGCCGGCGUCCGCGCAACGCGGCCAGGCGGGCGCUCGCGCGCCAAUCUCGAGAAGCUGGUCGCCGACUCCCUCCUCUCGGGCGGCAAACCGCGUGAUUAA
rnacentral:rRNA from 1 species